rnacentral:rRNA from 1 species
UACGUAGGGUGCAAGCGUUAAUCGGAAUUACUGGGCGUAAAGCGUGCGCAGGCGGUUAUGUAAGACAGAUGUGAAAUGCCCGGGCUUAACCUGGGAACUGCAUUUGUGACUGCAUGGCUAGAGUUGGCAGAGGGGGGUAGAAUUCCACGUGUAGCAGUGAAAUGCGUAGAGAUCGGGAAGAACACCCGUGGCGAAGGCGGCCGACUGGACCACACCUGACGCUGAGGUGCGAAAGCGUGGGGAGCAAACAGG